rnacentral:lncRNA from 1 species
AUGCACAGAUUCCGGGAAAUCAUUGGCAGUUUGAAUAAACCAAAAUCUAACGAUCCGGGAACAAUUGCCGGGACACAUUACCCAUGUAUUUUCCGGAAUCUCAGUGUGAAAGGGGCUUUAGAGAGAACAAUCUUUAAACAUUUUAAUGAACAGGCUUUUAUGCAUGAUUUAUAUAAUAUUGAUUUAGGUGUUAUUUCAUAUAUGCCAGAUAUCAACCUAGCUUGGGAUUAUUUUAAAAAGGUUUUUCUAACAAUAUGUGACAAGCAUGCUCCACUUAAACGUUUAAGGAUAAGUGGCAAAGACAACCCCUGGUUUAAUGAUACUCUCUCUACACUUAUCAGACAGAGAAGUGCUGCUUGGGCGAAGGCAAAAAAAUCAAAUGAUCUAUUAGAUUGGAGUUCUUAUAGAGCAUUAAGAAAUUCAUGUACUAAUUCAAUAAAAUGUGCAAAACGUGAUUAUUAUCUCUCUAUGGUAAAUGAAAAUUUAAAUAAUCCUACUAAAUUCUGGAAGCUAGUAAAAUCUACUUCAGGAAAGAGUUUAUCAAUUAAAAUUCCAGAUCACUUAAUUGUUAAUCAAAAUAUUGUUAGAGGUAGAGCGAAUAUUGCUGAAUCUUUUAAUAAUUUUUUUACUGCAGGCUCAAGUUAUGAGUCUGAUUUAGGUGUCUCUACAGAAUUAGUUGUCUCUGAUAAACAUUGUCCCAGGCAGGUGUUUAAUUUCUCUCCUAUUACAACAUCCCAGGUUUAUAAUGCUUUAGUGAAACUCGAUGUCAAAAAAUCUGCAGGGGUGGAUAAAAUUGAGCCUUAUUUUUUAAAAAUAGCUGCUGGUAUUUUAGCAGAGCCAAUUGCUUCUAUUUUUAAUUUAAGUUUAAUUUCAAAUAUUAUUCCGAGAGCGUGGAAGUCGGCAACAGUUAUUCCCUUAUUUAAAAGUGGAGAUCCUUCAGAUCCUAACAACUACCGCCCUAUUUCUAGAUUACCAGUCUUAGCUAAAUUAUUUGAAUCAUUGCUAAACGAUCAAUUAAAACAAUUUUUAACAGAUAAUAAUGUUCUUAACGAUUACCAGUCAGGCUUUAGAGCAGGUCAUAGUACCCUAACUGCAGCUUUAUUAGUUACAAAUGACCUUAUAAACUCUUUAGAUUGUAAAAAGUCCUGUGCCGCAUUAUUUGUCGACCUUUCAAAAGCCUUCGACUCUGUUUCGUUUUAA